rnacentral:rRNA from 1 species
CCAGACUCCUACGGGAGGCAGCAGUGAGGAAUAUUGGUCAAUGGGCGAGAGCCUGAACCAGCCAAGUCGCGUGAGGGAAGACGGUCCUAUGGAUUGUAAACCUCUUUUGCCGGGGAGCAAAAAGCGGUACGUGUACCGCAUCGAGAGUACCCGGAGAAAAAGCAUCGGCUAACUCCGUGCCAGCAGCCGCGGUAAUACGGAGGAUGCGAGCGUUAUCCGGAUUUAUUGGGUUUAAAGGGUGCGCAGGCGGCGAGUUAAGUCAGCGGUAAAAUUUCGGGGCUCAACCCCGGCCUGCCGUCGGAACUGGGUGCCUUGAGUGGGCGAGAAGUAUGCGGAAUGCGUGGUGUAGCGGUGAAAUGCAUAGAUAUCACGCAGAACCCCGAUUGCGAAGGCAGCAUACCGGCGCCCUACUGACGCUGAGGCACGAAAGUGCGGGUAUCGAACAGGAUUAGAUACCCGCGUAU